rnacentral:rRNA from 1 species
CAGCCGCCGCGGGAAUACGAAGGGUGCAAGCGUUACUCGGAAUUACUGGGCGUAAAGCGUGCGUAGGUGGUGGUUUAAGUCCGUUGUGAAAGCCCUGGGCUCAACCUGGGGAUUGCAGUGGAUACUGGGUCACUAGAGUGUGGUAGAGGAUAGUGGAAUUUCCGGUGUAGCAGUGAAAUGCGUAGAGAUCGGAAGGAACAUCUGUGGCGAAGGCGACUAUCUGGGCCAACACUGACACUGAGGCACGAAAGCGUGGGGAGCAAACAGGAUUAGAGACCCCCGUAGUCCCUGUCUCUUAUAC